rnacentral:tRNA from 1 species
AGUAGGAUGGCCUGGUGGUUAGGGUGCUAGUCUGGGAUAUGGGAGACCUGGGUUCCAUUCCCUGUUCUGUUG